UGCGCAUGAGAAAGAAACUGGCAAGGCAGCUAAGUUGUGUUUGGGUAUUUGCUUGUGUGAAUACCCAUAAGGGACUUUAUGAAGGGGAACAUAAUAUCAGGAUCUCUUUGAAGGGGAACAUAUAGUCAGUGACACCUCUGGGAACACCAUCUGUUUGGAGGAAGCAGCUAUAAUGCGAUUUUAAGAUCGUAAGGAUGGACAAGUAUCAGUGGUAGUACGGUGCAAAAAACUUUUUCCAGGGCCAGCAAUAUAUCACAACAUCACUGGUUCAUUCACAAGAUAGGAAGCAGGAAGAUAUUGGGUUUGGCAAACAACCUGGAAGACCACAGAGCAGCUCAGGAGGUGACUGAAG